UUAAAAACAACUGAAAUCUUCUAUUAAAAAAAGCCAGGGUAGUAACCAAAGUGGUUUUUCCCCGGACACGUGCGUAGGAGGGGCCGUGUCCUGGUUUGGCCUCCCUCAGGAUGCUCUUUGGAGCCUGGCAUGAGGCCUGGCAGAGCUGGGAGGGGGUUUGGGAGCUGCUGGCUCUCACUUUAAGGUGGCCAAACCUGAUCACCCUGGAGACAGAAAAUCUGGGAAGCUGCAGGGCUUGGAGCGAGGAGGUGCAGGGGUCAGACCUGCGUGUCCCCAGGGAUUUACCCAAGGGGGAUGUGUGGUUUUGCUGCUCUGGUGAGCUGCUACAUUUGGGCGACAUUUUGGUGCCUGGAUUUUGGAAGUGGAGGCAGAGCUCGGAGGCUCCUCCGGCCGGUGAUGGAGACCCCGGUGCCUUGAGCUCUGCCCCUUCCGCUGCCUGCCCUCCCUCACGUGUGCCCUCUCCUGUGCCUCAGGUCGGCGGUGAUGUGUCCGUCCCCGCGCCCCGAGCUCCGCGCUCCCCGAGCCGCCGCUCGCAGCUAGAUCCCGGCCCGCCCGCUGCCAUGGAAACGGGCAGCCCGGAGGAGCGGGACGGAGCGGACCGGCGGCGGCAGGAGGGCGGGGACGGCCCUCCCGACAGCGCCAACGGCUCCGUGCUGGCGGCCGAGCCGCAGCAGCCGCCCCCCGGCAAGCUGAGGAAAACGGCCUUCAAGCUGUUCGGGGGCAAGCGCAGCAUCUGCACCCUGCCCAGCUUCUUCGGCGGCCGCGGCAAGAAGGGGCUCAGCAAGUGCAAGACCCACGACGGGCUGAGCAGCGCUGCCUGUGACAAGGGCGGUGCGGCACGGCCGGGCAGCCCCGCCGAGGGCGGCAGGGACGGGCAGCCCGGGCCCCUGCCCGGCUCCCGCAGCGCCCAGCUGGCCCCGGACAGCGGCGGCAGGGCGGAGCCGGGCCAGCAGGACGGCUCUCCCCCCGGCAGCAUCGAGGGCUGUGACAAAAAGCCCAACGGGGAGAAAUCCUCGUGCCCCAGAGCCAAGAAAGGGCUGAAAGGGUUUUUUAACAGCAUCCGGCGGCACCGGAAGAGCAAGGCUGUGGAGAGUGAGAAGGCGGAGCUGCCCGAGUGGAACGGGGACACCGAGGAGGCCGGGAACGCCCCUGGGAUGGGAGCAGAGAGCCGAGGGGCCGUGGAGGGCAGGGCAGCAGGGCCAGGCCCCGAGGCCACGGCCGGCCCAGGGGACUCGGGGGGUGACUCCAGCUGUGGGGAGGCCCCCGAGCCCACGGGCCCCACGGCCGAUGGAGGCACCUCCGAGGGUGACACGAUGGCCGUGCCAGGGAACGGGGAUGUUCCAGAUGCAAAAUCAGAGAGCGAGGCUGCUGCCUGCGCUGAGUUUGACCGUGAGAGUUUGCUGCUGGCCUUCCACCCUGACUUCAUGGACAGCGAGCCUCCCUGCCUGCACUCCGGGGACCUGCUGAGCCUCAUGCUGGGGGACGUCACCUCCCUGAAGAGCUUUGACUCGCUGACGGGCUGCGGGGACGACAUCGCCGAGCCCGACAUGGCCGAGAGCAGCAUCUCUGUGGAGCGCAGCCGCGACGCCGCCAAGCGCAGCUCCUGCCUCGUCACCUACCAGGGCGGCGGCGAGGAGAUGGCCAUCCCUGAGGAGGCCGAGGAGUUCCUGCAGCAGGCGUGGGACAGCGGCGGCCCGGGGGACAGCAGCUACGGGGCCCAGGUGUCCAGCAGCAGCCUGGAGACACACGCCUCACACGAGGCCGAUGCCCAGCCCUACAUGGGGGACGCCAUGGAUGGUGUCGACCUCCUGACGCCCCAGAGCGACCAGCAGGAGUCUGCCCCGAACAGUGAUGAGGGAUAUUACGACUCCACCACGCCGGGGCCGGAGGAUGAGGCUGGAGAGGAGCUCAAGAAGGACCGGCUGCCCCGGGACAGCUACAGUGGGGAUGCACUUUACGAGUUUGACACCCUGAUGAGCCCCUCUCACGGGGAGGAAUCCCUGUUCGAGGGCAAAGUCCCACGCCAGGGCAUCUUCAGCUACUUCAUGGACUUCUGCCUCCCUGCUGAGAAGAGCCUGAUCCAGCAGAUGAUGGAUCAGAAGAGAGGGCUGAUGGACAGCGAAGAGGAGGGGCUUGCAGCCAUUCAGAAAGAGCUGCUGUACUGGGAGCUGCAGAGGGAGCCCGUCCUGAAGCGCCUGGAUGUGUCCAGCAAGGAGCAGUGUCCCCGGGAGAAGCAGUGCAUUGAAUGUAAAACCAGAGCAGCCAGCUCCACUGGCAGGAGUCAGAGUGGCCUUGGGAGCGAGCAGGUGCCCUCACACACCCCAGGCCGGGCUGUCAAUGGUGGGGUUGCAGUGGCUAGGGCUGAAAAUGCAGAGUGGAGGGAUUUUCCAGGGACUCUGUGUCUGGAAAACUGCUACAACAGCCAAAAAGCCCCUGGAAGUUGCCUUAUUCAGCUCGCAAAGAACAACCCGGGCUUCGAUGCAGACCUGGACUGUGGGAUGUUUGGGGACCCCAUCCAUGGCAGCAAGGCAGGGCUGUUCCCUGGGUUCAGGCUGCCCGAGCAGGAGCACGGUGCUGGAGCAGAGCCUGGUCCUGGUGAGCCCCAGGUGGGCAGCGAGCCCGAGCACGCUGUGAACUUCUCCCAGGCUCUGGUGGAGUUUGCCAGCAGCGGGACCCUCUUCUCCAGCCUCUCUGAGAGCCUGGGCAGCUCGGCCUCCAGCUCAUCCUUCACCCAGAACCUCCCUGCCCUCCCCACCAUGGUCACCUUUGACGUGGUGGACGUGGAGCAGGACGGGGAAGGGGAGUGUGAGCAGCACCCGGAGCUGACGGCGGGCGAGGACAUCGCCGAGGCCUUUGACGAUGGCUACGGACAGAAAGAGUCCUUGGCUGAAUGUGACGAGAGAAUGUCCCUGGCCUUCUCCCCGGGCUCCUUCCCGAGCUGCAACUGGGGCGUGGCCAGCCUGCCCCGCCACCUGCGCCUGCACGGCCUCAGCCCCUCCAUGCCCGCGCCGCUCUCGGUGGACCGGCGGAGCCGCUCGCUGGACACCGAGAGCCUGGAGUUCGAGCUGGCCGAGCCGCCGGGGGCCCGCGGCGCCCCCCAGCCCUGCCGGCUCUGGGCCAGGAAGGACUCAGCCGGAGCCAGGAGGAGCAGGAGCAAGGAGGAGGGCGAGCUGCUGGCUCCCGAGGGUGGCCCGAGCUGGCCGGGCCUGCGGCACCUCCAGCGCGGCCCCGAGGCGGCUCCCGGCGGGAUGGAGCUCUGGGACUUGGCUCCGGCUGGCGCCGUGGAGAGCGUCUGGGAGCCCUCGGAGCCGCCGGACACCGUGUCCCCGUUCCUGCCUCUGUCCCAGUGCGGGGGCAUCGGGGAGGCUCCGGAGAGGCGGCCGCAGGAGGCAGAGCUGAGCCGGCUCCCGCUCCGGCCCUCCAACCUCCCCCUGCAGGCCGAGCCCAGGCGGGCCCGGGAGGCGGCCGGCUCCUUCCGCUACCCCGGCGAUGUCCCCGCGCUGUCCCGCCUGCUGCCCCUGGGGGAGGCAGAGCUGCCCCCGAGCUUUGCCUUCGCCUGCUCCCCGGAGCACCGUGCCAGGGGCAAACCUGUGGGCAUCGCCCAGGGCGUGCCACAGCAGCCUGGGAAUGGCAGCGGGGACACCGAGAGCCCGGAGCGCUGCACCGAGCCCCUCAAGGGCAGGGCCGCCCCGGGGCACGGCCCCUGCCGGGGCACCGUGUGCAGUGUCAGCCAGGCUGAGUAACUGCAGCAGUGGCACCGUGUCACCCAGCUGAGGGGCUGCAGCAGUGUCACCCAGCUGAGGGGCUGCAAGAAUGUCACUGUCAACAAGCCAAAAGGCUGCAGGAAUGCCACUGUGUCACCCAGCUGAGGGGCUGCAGCAAUGUCACCCUGUGAACCAGCUGAGGGGCUGCAGCAAUGUCACCCAGGCUGAGUGUCUGCAAGAAUGUCACUGUCACCAAGCCAAAAGGCUGCAGGAAUGCCACCGUGUCACCCAGGCUGAGGGGCUGCAGCAGUGUCACCGUGUCACCCAGGCUGAGGGGCUGCAGCAGUGUCACCGUGUCACCCAGCUGAGGGGCUGCAGCAAUGUCACUGUCACCAAGCCAAAAGGCUGCAGGAAUUGUCACCGUGUCACCCAGCUGAGGGGCUGCAGGAAUGUCACCCAGCUGAAGGGCUGCAGCAGUGUCACCCUGUCACCCAGGCUGCAGCAAUGUCACUGUCACCAAGCCAAAAGGCUGCAGCAGUGUCACCGUGUCACUCACCACGCUGAGGCUGCUCUGGGCAGGAGUGAAGGGGAGCAAAGGGAGGGAGAAAACCGGGAGCAGUUUGGGCAGGACUUGAGUUGAGCUGGGCUGAUGCUCCUCUCCUGCAAACACCCGUGGCCUUGCCCUGGGGAUGCUCUGGAAGCAGCUUGGAGCUGCCUCCAGGGUUCCUGCAUCCCCACUGAGGCACUUUCUGCUUCUCCAGCACCAAGUGCAGCAGCAGCAGCCCCUGGCAGGAGCUGGGCAUGGACCUGCUGCUGGGGUUUGUGCAGGGCUGGGGGAACAGGCCUGGGGCAGAGUUCAGAGGGAAAUGGGGCUGUUUUCCUCAUGUGGGUGAAAUGUUUUGGUUCACACUCACUUUGAAUGUCUUCCAGCCCAGGCUCAGUGUGGGGAGCAGGGGGGAAGGUGCUGCUUGUUCCAGAGUGAGGAUGGGGCAAGGCAGCUGGAAAGGGGAACUUUGCAGCAAUGUUUUUAUUUAUUUCAUUUGUCCUUACCCCAAAGGAAAGCAGGAGCUUUUGUGUGUGUGCUGAUGACGUUCUCCAGGUCUGGUUUCAGUUUGCUCAGAAAGAUGUGCUGUCCAUGGUGUCCCUUGGAAGAACAAAGUGUUGGUCCCUUCUUUGUUGUGCUCUGUCCUGGUGCAGAAUUCCUGGUGGGAUCCUUUCCUGGGCCCUGGCCUGGCUCCUGGCCACGGGGACAGGGCUGAGGCCUUUGAAAUAAGCUAAAUUUGCAUCAUGCCUGUAGCUGUGAAGUGGCAGAUGAUGUUACUUUCUCAAAAGGAACCUUUGUGGCUUUUUAUUUUUAUUUUAUUAUUUUAGGACUGUUUUCUUUGCAUAAACCCACAGGAGGGAAGUUUUGUGUUCCUUGGAAUUUGGGAUGGGCCACAGCUACAUUGGGCUUCUCUCCUGUCUGGAGGGAACAAAAAGCCUGGAAGCUGCUGGAGGGUUGGGAUUUUUUGCCUCUUUGAAGGAAUGAGGAGGAGGGGACACAGCUGAGGGGACAGACUGUGCUGUGAGCUCCUGGUCCCCUCUGUGAUCCCAAACCCCCAGUCCAUGACACAGAGCUGCUUCCCUGUCCUGUCCAAGCUCUGUGUUCUGAUUUAAUUCCAUUACCAGUGAUUUUUGUUUUCCCCCACCUCAUUGCCCUUUCUCUAUUUUCCUUUGCAGCAGAGUUUGUAGCAUUCAAAAUAAAGAAUCCCAAAGUGGGAAUACUGGAGUUUUACCACCUGUGUGGGGUGAGGGCUGGCUCUGCUUGGGCCAGGCUCCAUUUUCCUGCUGGGCCCCCCUCGUGCUGCUCCUGCUCCACACGGAUGUGGCUCCACCAGCUGCUCCCUCCCAUCCCUGCAUUUCCAGGCACAAGGAGCUGCUUUGGGUUUGAUGGGUUUUUUUCCCCCUCCCAAGCAAAAUGAGGUUUUGAUAUUCCUUUUGAGAAAAGAUUCCUCUGCCCUGCCCUUGGGUGUGUGGGAAGGAGCAGGGAGGGCAGGGCAGGGCUUGGUUCAGCCCUGUGUGUGCUGUGCUUGUCCUGCUGAGGCAGAGCAGAUCCUCUGUGCAUCCAGGGGCUCACACCUGGAUUUUUCCAUGUUUUCCUGGCAGCUGCUGUGGUUCUGUUCCCUCACCCCUCUGGGACACCAGGGAGGGUUUCCUGGGCCACACCUGGCUCUUGGUGCCACUGCCACCCCUGGGGACAGUGUUGCCCUCACUGGGGGUUGUGUCUCCUCGUUAGCACAGCUGCUAAUGAGCGUGGGCUGUCCCUCCCUGGGCAAGGGCAGGGCCAGCUCUGUGCCCAAACCACGGGCACACCCUGCUGGGGACACCCCAGGGCCACUGUCACCCCUCACACCCUGCCUGCCUUCAGUCCCUGCUUUAUUUCCCUUCAGCAUCUCACCAAAGCCAUCGGGGGCUUCCAGCUCUGGAGCUUUGUUCAGCCAAAGUCCUGCUGGGGGCUGGGAAUGUCUGGGUGCUCAUGAAUGUUCCAGGGUGUGCUGGGAUCCUGGGGAGCUUCACAGCCAAGGCUUGGCCAUCUGACUUCAUACCAAAGGUUUCUCCUCUUAAUUCGAUGGGAAUUCAAUGAGGCAAAUAUCUCUGGAAUUCAAAUGAGUUUUCCUAAUGCAGUUUAGUCACUAAUUUGCUGGAUUAUUGGCAGAUUCUGCCCCAUUAACCCAAAGAAAUUGGAAUUUCUAGUGCAGUAAUUCAGCCUGGAAAUGAGGACUGCAGUAGGGAUUGGAUUUCGCUGCCUGCUGAGCCACUCUUCCCAAAAAUCCCCACUUGGCACCCAUGGGAACAAAGCUGGGCUGGAGCUGGGUCAGCCCAACACUGCCUUACCCCAGCUGGGGUGGCCACUGAGGCUCCUGAUGCAAAAGGGCUUCCCAGGCAGAAACCAGUCACCAGGUCAGGAACAGAGAAGGUCCUGCCAGGAUAUUGAGGAAAAACGUGAGGAAUUCACUGUUCCUUGCAGGGCAGUGAGGGGCUGGGGCUGUGGGGCUGGGAUGGAAGCACUGCCCAGAGGUUCUGUGUUGCAUUCUGGGGACUUGGGGGUUUUCUUUGGUUUGUUUGUUUUUAUACACAUAAGAAAACGGUCAAUUUUCUCUAUUUUUGUAUAGUUUUGCAUUUUAUAAUCAUGGGGAAAUUUUACAGACUGUUCUUUUACUCGUGUGUCUUUGUCUUUCCAAGUGCUGUGGUUUGCUUUUCCCGUGGAUAAAAGGCCGUUCCUGCUGCUGCUGUGCCCAGCUCCCAGGCUGCCCCCAGGCCUCACAAACACACUUUGCACACACUUGAGAUGUCCUUAACCCUCCUCUGUCACACUCAGCUGUCCCUUCUUUGCUUUUCAGUGUUGUUUUUAAUCUGAAUCUGUGGAUUUUGGUCAUUUCUCCCUCCAAAUGUUAUAAAAUGCUCACAGGUUCCAGCUGAGGCGUUUCCUGCUGUCUGCUGAUGUUAUUUUAUCUCAAAUUUGGGCUUUCCUUCAAUCCUUGUGCAGGAGAUGCUGUUGGUGCAUGGAAAUGCUCUUGGACAGGUUUCCUCUCUCCUUGGUGCUCCCUGGCCAGGCUGGGAUUUCACCCUGGUGCCUGAGGAUUGCUCCUUGGAUAAUCCUGGGAUCAGCAGGGCUCUGCCUCACCAAAACACCUCCCUGCAAUGGCCCUGCCUUCAGCUCCAGCACCAGAGGAGAGCAGAGCUUCUGGAAUGCCCAAAUCACAUUUCCCCCAGCAGAGGUGCCAAUUGUCACUGAUUUGGCUCUGCAGAGAUUUUUUUUUUUUAUCUUCUAAUUAAUAACUUUUCACCUGAUGGUGCUUUUAAAAUGUCUCUGGCUUGGGUUUGCCCCAUUCCCCACAGGGAUGGGUGGGAAGGUUUCUCACUGAACAUUCCUGGGGCACUCAGACCCAGCUUCCACAUUCCCUCUGCCCUGGAAUUCUGGGCUCCCUCCUCUCCAGCUGGGGCCUCCUGCUCCUCUCACCCACCCUGAGCCCCCCAAAGCUCCUUUUGGGUGAAGUGAGAAAUUCAGGUCCCAAAAAGCCUCUCAGUUGUAAGGGAAUAAUGGAUCAGCCCUUGUCCUCAGCUGCCCCUCCCAGGUGACCAACCUGGCUGAAUUUGGGGUUUUUGUUUCCUUCCUGCUCUCAUUGCUACUAGUCCUUUCAAGUUUUUAAUGUAUUGAUUGUGUUUUAAAAUGAAUGUUCCUUUCACUGAAUUCUAAUGAAUAAACUGCAGAUUUUUAGAGAACAUUGGA